rnacentral:rRNA from 1 species
CAUGCAAGUCGAGGGGAAACGACAUCGAAAGCUUGCUUUUGAUGGGCGUCGACCGGCGCACGGGUGAGUAACGCGUAUCCAACCUGCCCAUCACUUGGGGAUAACCUUGCGAAAGUAAGACUAAUACCCAAUGAUAUCUCUAGAAGACAUCUGAAAGGGAUUAAAGAUUUAUCGGUGAUGGAUGGGGAUGCGUCUGAUUAGCUUGUUGGCGGGGUAACGGCCCACCAAGGCGACGAUCAGUAGGGGUUCUGAGAGGAAGGCCCCCCACAUUGGAACUGAGACACGGUCCAAACUCCUACGGGAGGCAGCAGUGAGGAAUAUUGGUCAAUGGACGAGAGUCUGAACCAGCCAAGUAGCGUGCAGGAUGACGGCCCUAUGGGUUGUAAACUGCUUUUAUAAGGGAAUAAAGUGAGUCUCGUGAGGCUUUUUGCAUGUACCUUAUGAAUAAGGACCGGCCAAUUCCGUGCCAGCAGCCGCGGUAAUACGGAAGGUCCGGGCGUUAUCCGGAUUUAUUGGGUUUAAAGGGAGCGUAGGCCGGAGAUUAAGCGUGUUGUGAAAUGUAGACGCUCAACGUCUGC